AGAAUGACAAUCUCUGGGAUAAACGGUGAUGGGUAGUUCCAAAGAAUCACAAACACAAUAUUUUCUAUUUAGAGAAAGGAGAUCAUGACAAGAAAGGGGUCCGGAGGAGGUGUUGACACGUCCUUCUGAUGAAUGUUUGAGAGACCUGGAAUGGGUUAACUUUCUGAAGAGCUGUGCCCUUGUUAUCCAGACUGUUGACUCGACAGUUACCCCUGACUCAGGACACAGCGUGCUCCCUUCAUGACCCUGCCCCUGUAGGGCCUCCCAGCAAAAUGGAACUUCGGAGGCCAUAUUCCCGCCAACCGCGAGGAUGAUUCUACAGUCCGUGAAUCUGGGCUGGGCUUGUGACUUGCUUUGGCCAAUGGAACACAGUGACUCUUCAGUUCUGAGCCCAGAGUCUAAGGAGCUGUGUGCGCUUCUGCUGUUCUUUCCCCAGCUCACAGCGUGAACAUGCCGCGGUCACCUGCUAGAGGGAUGAAAGAGACACAUAGGUAGGGUUCCCAGACUCAGCAAAUAUUUGGGACGCACUUAUAC